AGUCUAAAGAAAAGAAUUUUAGAUAGGUUCUGCUCAAUGACAAAUUUAAAUAGCUGCAGUAAAUUAACUGUACUAAGGUAGCAUAAUAAGUUGCUUUAUAAUUAAAAGCUUGAAUGAAAGAAACAAUGUGAAACAAACUUUUUAAAUUAAAAGAGUAAAAAUUAAUAUUUAAGUGAAAAAUCUUAAAUUAAACCAAAAGACAAGAAGACCCUUUAGAACUUUAUAAGUUAAAUUAUGCUAAUUAGAUUGACUUAUUAAGUUGGGGAGAUUUUUAAAUAAAUAAAUCUUUAAAUAUAAUAAGAUGAAUUAUCUCAAGUUAAAUUAUCCAAAUAAGAAUUAAAACAAGUUACCUAAGGGAUAACAGCGCAAAAUUUUUGAGAAGCUCUUAUUCACAAAAUAAAUUGCGACCUCGAUGUUGGAUUAAGAAUAACUUGUAAAGAAAAAUUUAUAAGGAUUGGUCUGUUCGCCCAAAUAACUCUU
rnacentral:rRNA from 1 species